rnacentral:tRNA from 1 species
GGGCGAGUGGCGAAAUAGGCAGACGCGUGAGCUUUAGGAGCUCAUGCUCGAAAGAGUGUGAGGGUUCGAGUCCCUCCUCGCCCACCA